CCUGAUGCAGCCAUGCCGCGUGUAURAAGAAGGCCUUCGGGUUGUAAAGUACUUUCAGCAGUGAGGAAGGUUCAURCGUUAAUAGCGUAUGGAUUUGACGUUAGCUGCAGAAGAAGCACCGGCUAACUCCGUGCCAGCAGCCGCGGUAAUACGGAGGGUGCGAGCGUUAAUCGGAAUUACUGGGCGUAAAGCGCAUGCAGGUGGUUUGUUAAGUCAGAUGUGAAAGCCCGGGGCUCAACCUCGGAACUGCAUUUGAAACUGGCAGGCUAGAGUACUGUAGAGGGGGGUAGAAUUUCAGGUGUAGCGGUGAAAUGCGUAGAGAUCUGAAGGAAUACCGGUGGCGAAGGCGGCCCCCUGGACAGAUACUGACACUYAGAUGCGAAAGCGUGGGGAGCAAACAGGAUUAGAUACCCUGGUAGUCCACGCCGUAAACGAUGUCUACUUGGAGGUUGUGGCCUUGAGCCGUGGCUUUYGGAGCUAACGCGUUAAGUAGACCGCCUGGGGAGUACGGUCGCAAGAUUAAAACUCAAAUGAAUUGACGGGGGCCCGCACAAGCGGUGGAGCAUGUGGUUUAAUUYGAUGCAACGCGAAGAACCUUACCUACUCUUGACAUCCAGAGAACUUAGCAGAGA
rnacentral:rRNA from 1 species